UGGACGAAUGCAAAAUUAAUCCAUGGUGACAGGCAUGUGCGACCUCCCAGCGGACUGCCUGGCGCUGGUCGCCUCCCUGACAUCCCCCGGGGAUGCGUGCAGGUUGGCGGCCACCGCCGUCGCGCUCCGGGCGGCUGCCGACUCCGACCAGGUCUGGGGGAGCUUCCUCCCGGCAGACUGCGCGGACAUCCUCGCGCGGUGCAGCACCCCCGGUGAUGGGCGCUGCCUCGAAGGCGAAACGAACAAGGAGCUCUUCUCCCGACUCUGCGACUGCCCCGUCCUCCUCGACGGCGGCAAGCUGAGCUUCUCGCUGGAGAGGCAUAGCGGCGCCAAGAAGUACAUGAUAGCUCUGUGGCACGGAUUUGGUGGCUACCAGUACUACGGAUUGGAGGACUCGUCCAGUCACACUUUCACCUUCACUCCAGAUUCCACGAGGUGGCGCCUCACUCGUACCUGUUGUGGGUGACAUGGACGUCAUCAUGAACACCAAGAACCUCUCGGGCGUCGAUAGAGGCUAUGUUGCCUUUCUCAUAUACAGGGUGCAUUGGUUAUACAUUUGUACAGACACAUCUCAGAACCAAAACCAAGAAGCUGUAGGAGUCCUGCUUCGUCAUUUGCAACAUGAUUGCAACCAUCUCAUGCCUCAUAAGCACUUGUGAUCUCUGUUAUGGGACUGGGUUGGGAACUCGAUGGAUGAUCAUUGGAGAAGAAUCAAAGUUUGAAGCAGCAGUUGAGGCCUGAUGGAGCGAGCAUGAGGAGCGAUGGAUGAUGAGCAAGAGAUUAACAUAGAGCUGGACGAGCAUUGUCUGGAGAGGAAGGGAAAAAAAUGUUUCCAUUGUGUUUAGAGGGUUCACAAGGUCAUGUAGAUGCCAGAUUACCAUAGAAGGGAUCGAGAUUUUUUUUCUCGAAAAAGAGAACAUAUUAAUAUCGCGAAGAUACCAAUUACACCCGGCAAGGGAUCGAAAUAAGGCCGAGAGGAAUGGAAAGUUGAAAUCAUGUCUAAAUGUAUUAGAUAGACACAAAUUCACCGUAUGGUUAGGUCUGUUUACAGGGAUAUUGCAAUUUGCAACUAUGGCGUUGUGUUAAUUUUGUGCUACUUUCCUAGUUAAUUAAUUUAUCUAGAAAUGAAACACGAGGUCUGCUUAGAGGUUUUGCAUGAAUAUUAAUUUCCG
rnacentral:rRNA from 1 species